UGCAAUUUUGAUUAAAAGGAUAUUUUGGUUGUUUCACGCCUCUUUUCUUCAUCUCCAGGGAGUCCAUCCCUUUCUCUCCCAUUUUCGGCGUUCUUUCUCCCUGUAAACCCUAUCUUUAAUAUCAUCAAGCCUCAU